rnacentral:rRNA from 1 species
CGGGGGGGGCAAGCGUUGUUCGGAAUUACUGGGCGUAAAGGGUUCGUAGGUGGCCAACUAAGUCAGACGUGAAAUCCCUCAGCUUAACUGGGGAACUGCGUCUGAGACUGGAUGGCUUGAGUGCAGGAGAGGAACGCGGAAUUCCAGGUGUAGCGGUGAAAUGCGUAGAUAUCUGGAGGAACACCGGUGGCGAAGGCGGCGUUCUGGACUGCAACUGACACUGAGGAACGAAAGCCAGGGGAGCAAACGGGAUUAGAUACCCCGGUAGUCCUGGCCCUAAACGGUGAAUGCUUGGUGUGGCGGGUAUCGAUCCCUGCCGUGCCGAAGUUAACGCGUUAAGCAUUCCGCCUGGGGAGUACGGUCGCAAGGCUG